GAUGAGAAGUCUCCGGAAUCGCUGUACUGCAUUGAUGAUUCCCUCGAACCCUAGUCUGUCUGAU
rnacentral:snoRNA from 1 species